AUGAGUUUUGACUCUCGGGGAACAUAUGAUUUCUACAAUCUUUAUUCAUGGGAGCUCGGAUUUGGUAUAAGAUAUGGCAAGAGCGGUCUGAAUGUCGAGCUGACGAAGGGUAUGCAAGAAAUUGUGUGUGGAUGCUUGGGGAAGCCUGAGCAGCAAAACAGCCGGUCUUGCCGGUGCAAAUGCCCUGCAAUGUUUUCGAGGAUGGGGCUUACUAGGUCGAGGAAAUUGAAAGGAAGAAGUACAUUGCAAGACACAACAAUGUCGACAACUGUGGGAAGUGGAGCAAGGUUGUUUAUGAGGUGA
rnacentral:rRNA from 1 species